rnacentral:rRNA from 1 species
UUCAGGGUCGUCCGUUGAGGGUGCUGCUCCACCUAAGUCCAGCAAUGAGUACGGUGGUACGGACAUGGCCCACAGAGGGUGAAAGGCCCGUGGGGGUGGAGAUCAGGCAGGCCAGUGCCUCUCUGGGUAGACCUUGGAGUCGGGUUGUUUGUGAAUGCAGCCCAAAGUGGGUGGUAAACUCCAUCCAAGGCUAAAUACUUGCACGAGUCCGAUAGCGAACAAGUACCGUGAGGGAAAGUUGAAAAGUACUUUGAAGAGAGAGUAAACAGUGCGUGAAACCGCUCAGAGGUAAGCGGGUGGAGUUGAACUGCAAGCUUUGAGAAUUCAGCUGGUGAGUAUGGUUUGAGCUUGGUCAAGUUUGGCUGGAUAUUGAGGUCUGCGUAGUGGCAGGUUCUAGUCCCUCGGGGCAGGAUGCGCGAUACACUUAUCAAGUGUUGUGCGCCUCAGUAUUAUUCGGGCCUACUCGCCAGUGCACUUUCUCAGAGUGUUCACCACGACCGGCACUGCUGUCUGGCUGUAGUGGUUAAACCGGGCUUACAUCGUCCUUGUGGCUUUGCAUGUUCGGGAAGGCAGGUGGCACGUUGGCUUGCUUGUAGUUUACUGCAGGCAUUUGGUCUUCGUGUGUAAUCAGCUGACCACAACAGUUCUGUGCAGUGUGUCGGGGCUAGCGGCUUGUGGUACUUGCGUGCGUGCUUGUUCUGCUGGCGAGUCCGGGUUUGGUUAUCAUGUUGCCUGCAAGUGCAGGCCUGG